rnacentral:rRNA from 1 species
UACGUAGGGUCCGAGCGUUGUCCGGAAUUACUGGGCGUAAAGCGCGCGCAGGCGGCCCGCGAGGUGUCACGUGAAAGCCCCGGGCUCAACCCGGGAGGGUCGUGGCAAACCGGCGGCUUGAGGCCGGUAGAGGUGGGUGGAACUCCUGGUGGAGUGGUGAAAUGCGUAGAGAUCGGAAAGAACACCAACGGCGAAAGCACUCUGCUGGGCCGACACUGACACUGAGAGACGAAAGCUAGGGGAGCGAAUGGG